CCCAUCUCAGGAUGGCAUCUGGAGAGUUUUCAGUACUUUACCGGUCUCGACUGUGGGAGGGAGAGUCAAGAAGAGGCAUACCCAUUCCAUUCCUGGCUUGGAUAGUGGCUAGUGAGUGGAAGGCAAUCUGCUACAAGU